rnacentral:rRNA from 1 species
GCCCGGCGGUGCGUGCUGGCGCGGGCUUCUGCGACGAUGGCACCACCGGCUAGGAGGACGCACUACGAGGUGCUCGGGGUGGGCGUGGGGGCCAGCAGGGGCGAGAUCAAGGCGGCGUAUCGGCGCCUGGCGAGGGACGUGCACCCGGACGCCGCAGGCGCAGGCGGCGACGAGGGGUUCAUCCGGCUGCACGCGGCGUACGCCACGCUGGCCGACCCCGACGAGCGCGCGCGCUACGACCAGGAUGUGGCCAGCCGCGCCGCGGUCAUCACGACGCGGCGGGCGGCGGGGCCAGCGUUCCGACGCAGGACGUGGGAGACGGACCAGUGCUGGUAG